rnacentral:rRNA from 1 species
UACGAAGGGGGCGAGCGUUGUUCGGAUUUACUGGGCGUAAAGGGCGCGUAGGCGGCCCUGUUUGUCAGGCGUGAAAGCCCUGGGCUCAACCUGGGAACUGCGCUUGGUACGGCAAGGCUAGAGAUCGGGAGAGGAGAGUGGAAUUCGCAGUGUAGAGGUGAAAUUCGUAGAUAUUGGGAAGAACACCAGUGGCGAAGGCGGUUCUCUGGACCGACACUGACGCUGAGGCGCGAAAGCGUGGGGAGAAAACAGG